AACGUAGCUAUGAGAAUUGACAAUGAACUGUGGAGUUCAGUUGUAAGGGAGUUGAUGACCGUAUCUCAACAUCUCCAAUUGGAAUUUCUUCUCGAUCUAGAAUUCUAAAUCAAGAGAGGAGCAGGGACUGUCUGGAAGGAGUGGUUGAAAAGAAGUGGUUGGAGCACGUGAAUUGAUUUACUUGCUGGAGAAAAAGGUUGAGCAGGUACAAGAUGCAUGUGGGCUUUUUGCUGAUCUGGGAGCCUUAGACUGUUUAUGGGCUUUCCUCUGUAAUGGGCUUUUUAAAACUCAACAAGGACUGAAUGCAAAAAUCCAUGAAACUCAAACAGAGGUUCUACCGAAAUGUGUGUGUUUUGCGAGACUGAAACAUACAGUUUUUGAUUAAAUGAGUACUUUUCUCUGCUGUACAGAUGUCAUCGUUUCAUUGGUCCUAAAAAAGUGUCUGUUUACGAAUUGAAAAACAGCUAGCUGCUGUAUAGGCACUCCCA